GAUAAAUUGCACUCGCACACACACGCGUGCAUGCACACACACACACACACACUCUCUCUCUCUGCACCCCCCCGGCCCCGCCCUCAAGUCCCAGAGGGGACAAGUUAGCAGGAGAGGAGACGCCCACUUAACCAAAGGGUGAACAAAAGAAAGGGCUCUCUCCUCUCACCACCCACAGAUAGCUCUCAAGGGCUGCAGAGGAAGAGAUUAGCCUACUCUCCUCACUUAUUAGCCAGAAAGUAAACAAGGACAUAAAGGGAUUUCCCUGGAGUCCAUGGCGAGUCACUGGAAGAACCAGGUUCAGAAAGUUCCUAGUCCAGCUGUGUGAGGUUAAUUCCAGGUGAAACUGAAGAGAAAAUGGCCCAGAGAAAAGAUCACAGGAGACUUGCCUGCAGGGUCCUGCUCCUAACAUCCUGUGACCCAGCGAGAGCCAACCACAAAGCAAGUGGCUAAGGGAGGCGGUGACUUUCCAAGAGGCCUCUCCAGGGAGACCUGGUUUCUGGUGGGCAGCCCAUGGUGGCCGUUGAAGGUCGGGGCUGGGCAGAAGUUGGCACAGGAGGCUCCAAAGGAAAUGUCUCCCUAUUGGAGAAGUAACUCCUUGGGAUUCCAGCUCAACAAAGGGGGCACCUGAGCUGCUCUGAUCUUUCCCGUGAAGCCCAGGCAUACACACACCAAGAGAACAAAGUUGGAGGGAAGGCACGUGCUCUGGUACCCAAAAGGGAAGUAGACCAUUCUUCCGGACCCACCUGGCUGCUGGGGACUUGUUUGUUCAUUCAGUAGAUACUUAAAGGGCUAGUACUGGGCAUGGGGACAAUGCGGGACAGGACACACCCAUCCUGUCCUCACAGAGCUUCUGGUCUAGUGGCAAAUACAAAGGGAAAUUACAGGGAGCCAGGAGAGAGAACAAAGAAUGCAAAGAGAAUGAGGAGGAAGCAAGACUGACCUGAUAAACAUAGAACAAAUGGGCCCAUGAAGCAGGCGGGGGUGG